rnacentral:rRNA from 1 species
AGGUCGACGAUUCCUACGGGAGGCAGCAGUGGGGAAUAUUGCACAAUGGGCGCAAGCCUGAUGCAGCCAUGCCGCGUGUGUGAAGAAGGCCUUCGGGUUGUAAAGCACUUUCAGUCGUGAGGAAGGUGGUAGUGUUAAUAGCACUAUCACUUGACGUUAGCGACAGAAGAAGCACCGGCUAACUCCGUG